ANNGGAGGAGACNNCAGGGAUUGCCUCAGUAACGGCGAGUGAAGCGGCAACAGCUCAAAUUUGAAAUCUGGCCCUUUCAGGGUCCGAGUUGUAAUUUGUAGAGGAUGUUUCGGCGAGUGCUCCCGUCUAAGUUCCUUGGAACAGGACGUCAUAGAGGGUGAGAAUCCCGUAUGCGAUGGGUUGCGCGAGCCAUGUGAAACUCCUUCGACGAGUCGAGUUGUUUGGGAAUGCAGCUCUAAAUGGGAGGUAAAUUUCUUCUAAAGCUAAAUACCGGCCAGAGACCGAUAGCGCACAAGUAGAGUGAUCGAAAGAUGAAAAGCACUUUGGAAAGAGAGUUAAAAAGUACGUGAAAUUGUUGAAAGGGAAGCGCUUGCAACCAGACUUGCUCGCAGUUGCUCAACCCGCCUCCUGGUGGGUGUACUCUUCUGCGGUCAGGCCAGCAUCAGUUCGGGCGGUCGGAUAAAGGCGUCGGGAAUGUAGCUCCCCUCGGGGAGUGUUAUAGCCCGGCGUGGCAUGCGACCUGUCCGGACUGAGGAUCUCGCUUCGGCUAGGAUGCUGGCGUAAUGGUUGUAAGCGGCCCGUCUUGAAACACGGACCAAGGAGUCUAACAUCUAUGCGAGUGUUGGGGGUGGGAAAA
rnacentral:rRNA from 1 species